UAGAGUUUGAUCCUGGCUCAGGAUAAACGUUGGCGGUGUGUCUUAGGUAUGCAAGUCGAGCGAUCAUUUGUUCUGACGCAAGUCAGAAUGGAUGGUAGCGGCGGACGGCUGAGUAACGCGUGGGAACGUGCCCCAUGGCAGGGAACAGCUCGCCGAAAGGCGGGGUAAUACCCUAUACGCUCCAUUCAGUAAUAUGGAUGGAGGAAAGAGCGUAACUGCUCACCAAGGGAUCGGCCUGCGUCCUAUCAGGUAGUUGGUAGGGUAAUGGCCUACCAAGCCUAUGACGGGUAGCUGGUCUGGGAGGACGGACAGCCAGAGGAGCAUUGAGAUACGGGCUCCACUCCUACGGGAGGCAGCAACCAAGAAUCUUGCGCAAUGGGCGAAAGCCUGACGCAGCGACACCGCGUGUGGGAUGACGCCUCUAGGGGUGUAAACCACUGUGAUAGGAGAAGAAGUCCAGCUUGCUGGAUUGACGGUACCCUAUUAGAAAGUAGCUGCUAACUACGUGCCAGAAGCCUCGGUUAGACGUAGGCUACGAACGUUAUCCGAUUUCACUGGGCGUAAAGGGACGCGUAGGCGGCUUAGUAAGUCGUGCUUUAAAUCCCCCUGCUUAACGGGGCGGAUGGGCGCGAUACUAUUGAGCUGGAGUUUUCUUCAGGAGAGCGGAACGUUCUUUGUAGCGGUAAAAUGCGUUGAUAAAGAACGGAACACCAAAGGCGAAGGCAGCUCUCUAGAAGUUUACUGACGCUGAGGCUCUAAAGCCAGGGGAGCAAAAGGGAUUAGAGACCCCUGUAGUCCUGGCCCUAAACGCAUGCCUGCUAGUCUUUCUAUAUCCAGCGCAAGCUGGAUGGGAGAGGCGUAAGCUAACGCAUUAAGCAGGCCGCCUGGGGAGUACGGUCGCAAGGUUAAAACUCAAACUGAAUAGGCGGGGACCCACCCAACGAGUGGAACAUGUGGCUCAAUUCGAAACAAACCGAAGAACCUCACCAAGGUUUGACAUUCUUGUGCAAUCCUUAUGAAAGUAAGGACCUUUAGACUUUGUUUAAACUAAAGAACAGCUGUUGCAUGGCUGUCGUCAGCUCGUUCCGUGAGGAGUGCCCUUAAGUGGGACAACGAGCGCAACCCUUGUCUUGAGUUAUAAGUGUCUCAAGAGACAGUCCCGAUUAUAUCGGGAAGGAAGGAGAGGCGGACGUCAAGUCAUCAUAACGCUUAUACCUUGGGCUGCACACAUGUUACAAUGAACAGCAACAACGGGCUUGCAACUUCGUAAGAAGGAGCGAAUCCCUGAAAUCUGUUCUCAGUGGGGAUUGAGGGCUGAAAUUCGCCCUCAUGAACACGGAAUUCGUAGUAAUCGCGGAUCAGAUACGCCGCGGUGAAUACGUUCUUGGGUCUUGCACUCACCGCCCGUCAAGCCACCAAAGUCGAGAGUACCUGAAAUAUCCCGUUAACUGGGAGACUAGGGUAAAUUCGGCGAUGGGGACUAAGUCGAACAAGG
rnacentral:rRNA from 1 species